rnacentral:rRNA from 1 species
GGAAUCCCUAGUAACCGCGCGUUAAAACCGCGCGGUGAAUACGUCCCUGCUCCUUGCACACACUGCCCGUCGCUCCACCCGAGCUGGGCCUGGGUGAGGCCCGCUCCUUCGUGGGCGGGUCGAACCACGGGCCCGGUGAGGGGGGAGAAGUCGUAACAAGGUGGCCGUACGGGAACGUGCGGCCGGAUCACCUCCUACCGCC